rnacentral:rRNA from 1 species
GAUGAACGCUGGCGGCGUGCCUAAUACAUGCAAGUCGAGCGAACGGACGAGAAGCUUGCUUCUCUGAUGUUAGCGGCGGACGGGUGAGUAACACGUGGAUAACCUACCUAUAAGACUGGGAUAACUUCGGGAAACCGGAGCUAAUACCGGAUGAUAUUUUGAACCGCAUGGUUCAAAAGUGAAAGACGGUCUUGCUGUCACUUAUAGAUGGUUCCGCGCUGCAUUAGCUAGUUGGUAAGGUAACGGCUUACCAAGGCAACGAUGCAUAGCCGACCUGAGAGGAUGAUCGGCCACACUGGAACUGAGACACGGUCCAGACUCCUACGGGAGGCAGCAGUAGGGAAUCUUCCGCAAUGGGCGAAAGCCUGACGGAGCAACGCCGCGUGAGUGAAGAAGGUCUUCGGAUCGUAAAACUCUGUUAUUAGGGAAGAACAUAUGUGUAAGUAACUGUGCACAUCUUGACGGUACCUAAUCAGAAAGCCACGGCUAACUACGUG